GGGCGAACUGCAAGGGACACAGCCGAGGGAGAGGGACGAACUGCAAGGGACACAGCCGAGGGAGAGGGACGAACUGCAAGGGACACAGCCGAGGGAGAGGGACGAACUGCAGGGGACACAGCUGAGGGACAGGGAGCGGGACAUGGUGUUCCUCAAUGAGCUGCAGGACACACAGCUGUGGGACAAGGAGACCUGUAGCAGUCCACAGCAUCAUAAUGUGACUCAGUCAGAGAGCCUGUCCAGUCUGGAUAGCUUGGAGAUGGAGGACGGCUUAAACCACAACAACACAGUACAGAGAGUCCACAGCUCUUGGUUAGAUCACCAGAGACACCCCAAUGGUCCAUCCUCUGACUUGUCCUUUUGUCCACCAACAAAGAGUGUCCUAAGUGGUAACCUCCUAAUCCAACAGGGCAAAGUUGAUGCUAGCCCUCAGCCACCCAGACCAAGGCAGACAGAGGAGUCUGUCGAAGAUUGUAACAGCAGACUGCACCAGCUCUCUCAGGCCACCGGGUGGCAGAGUUGUACAGACCAAUCAUCAUCACAGAGUAACACUAUAACCCAGUCCCCACUCCUCAGUGUCAGUCACCACAGCCUGCUAACUCUGAGUGGGAUUAUAGACACAUCCUCAAUACGUUCAGAUAGCGGUGACCAACACUCUCAGGAGAGGGAAAGUCAUCUGAGGGGGGACCACAGAGUCUCGGGGGUCGUAGUGUGCUCCAAGGCUUCUACCCCAGACAGAACGCUGCUAGAGUUCACCUCUUGUCUGAUCCCAGAGGGAAAGUUAGAAUUUAGGCAGCAGGUGAGAGACCCGGAGGACAAGUAUUCCAAACAACCGUCGGCGACACAGGUCCUUCUGCCUGGGAAAACUUGCAGCCACAAAGACCUUCUGUGUGAAGCCCCCUCCUCAUACCCUGAUCAUAUCCUCAGUUAUAACACUAAAAGUAGCUCAGGGGUCCGAGAGGACACGGCCAACAUUCAGCCAACAAAAAGCACACAACACCAGUCACACGGGAGCAAACCCAGUGUAGAAGAUGCCAUGAACAACCUCAACAAAGGGUCCAACUCUGAGCCCAAAGCAGGGUCCGAGCCCAAAGCAAGGACCAACUCUGAGCCCAAAGCAGGGUCCAACUCUGAGCCCAAAGCAGGGUCCAACUCUGAGCCCAAAGCAGGGCCCAACCCUAAGCCCAAAGCAGGGCCCAACUCUGAGCCCAAAGCAAGGACCAACUCUGAGCCUAAAGCAAGGACCAACUCUGAGCCCAAAGCAAGGCCCAACUCUGAGCCCAAAGCAGGGUCCAACUCUGAGCCCAAACCCGAGAGGUCUAAGAACACAGACCCUCUCAGUCAGACAUUGGGUCAUUGUAAUAUCAGGUCUGACUUCCCUAAAGGCCUAAAGAGCCUGCAGGUGGAAAUAACACCAACACACCUCCCAGAUACACCUCCAUCUCCUCCACCUGUAGCUGCUGUCAGCACAGCCACAGAUCAUAAAGGCACUGAAGUCCGAUGCAUAAAGGGAAUUCUUAAAAAAGAAUCAAAAUAUGGCGUGUCGGGAGGAAACGCCUGUUCUGGUAUGUAUAACGCCAGGCAUUUAAUAUUCACCAAACAAUUCACCAUGUCCAUCAGAGAUAGUGUGGAACUGACCAGAAGGAAAGGCAAGGAUGCAGACAAGAUGAUCAAAAAGAAGAUACGCUGGUUUGACGAGGUAAAUCUGGAGGAAGAGGAGGAGAUGGAACGGAGUCCUAUAACAAACAACAAGUGUGUUUCUGAGUAUCCACUACCUCCAUAUAAACACUCAGCAUCAUCAGACCACCAACAGGGUCAGGGCCAGACGGUGGCCACCAACACCCCUCUGGCCUCCACCGGCUAUCACUUUACCAAGCAGGCCUGGGCAGAUGUCAGGGUCCAGGAGAGCAGGCUGCAGGGGCACCAGGGGAUCCAGGAGAGAGGCCAGGAGGCCAGGGAGACAAGAGUGGAAGCCAGGGAGGUCAAGGUCCAGCGGGGGAGCAGUGGGAGAACUGUGUGCCCCAGAGUCCCCAGGAGAGUGAGAUCUGCCAGGGCAGGGAUGGAUCCUGUUUCGUCCCGCUCCAGAAAAGGCACGGUCAUCAGACCCCAAUCUGCUACGGAGGCCAGCAGCCACGUGGCCUGGGUGACCCACAGGAAGGUCAUGGUGCCUCGUCCCCCGCCCCGCACUGAAACCAUGGAACCAAAAACACACACAAGAGAGACGGAUGCUGUAGUAUCAUACACCACCAAGACUCCUUACAACAUGGAUCACUCUAAUGACACCACCAAGACUCCUUACAAAAUGGAUCCCACUAAUCACACCACCAAGACUCCUUACAAAAUGGAUCACUCUAAUGACACCACCAAGACUCCUUACAAAAUGGAUCCCACUAAUCACACCACCAAGACUCCUUACAAAAUGGAUCACUCUAAUGACACCACCAAGACUCCUUACAAAAUGGAUCCCACUAAUCACGCCACCAAGACUCCUUACAAAAUGGAUCACUCUAAUGACACCACCAAGACUCCUUACAAAAUGGAUCCCACUAAAUACACCACCAAGACUCCUUACAAAAUGGAUCCCACUAAUCACACCACCAAGACUCCUUACAACAUGGAUCACUCUAAUGACACCACCAAGACUCCUUACAACAUGGAUCCCUUUAAUGACACCACCAAGACUCCUUACGACAUGGAUCACUCUAAUGACACCACCAAGACUCCUUACAACAUGGAUCAGUCUAACUCUGCUGCUACUAAAGCAGGGAUUCCUGUAGAUGAGGCUUUGUGUAAUAAUAACACCAUGGACAGCCUCGCUUCGUCCCAGACCCGUACACAUGUCAUUAGUGCAGAUAGCAGCAUUAUUUCCAACCCAUCCAAGGCCACCCCCAUGUCAGGCCAGCAGGACGCCCAGGGAGAGGCUGCCAGAUGGGGACUUCUGUACCAUGAGAAUGGCCUCUGUCUGGACCGUACUCCCACAGACGAGGAGAUCUCCCAGCUCUGGCAUGGAGUCCGUAGUGCCUUAGCCACCAAGGACGGUGACCCUAUAACUGUCCUGCCUCAAGCACGUGCCAACCUGUCUCGCGUUACUAUCAACGGGGACUGCCUGAUCAACGGAGUUAAAGCCAUCACCACGAUGGGAGACUUCUUCCUCUCCCCAACCAAUGCCAGGAGCGUGGUGAGGAGACGACCCCAGGAGAGUCGUGGUAGUGGGGCCAGGAGGAGAGGAACAACUGGCUCAGGGAACAGAAGGCUGCCUCUACCCUCCCAGUCUCAGACCAUGGUGCUGAUAACACCAUUACACAGCAAACAUGACCUGACACGUCAACAUGAAGAGUAUGCAGAAGUGGAGGCCCACAGUGAAGGCCUGCUGGCAGACAGUGAUAUAGUGUUUGCCAAGGAGACGGUGCCAUCCCAGAGGCUAGAGCCAGGUGGAGGUCACAGCCAGCACCAGGGCCAAUCGAUCACUACCAGCCACAGCCAGGGGCACCACGCCCGGGGGCACCAGGGGCACCAAGCCCGGGGACACCAAGCCCAAGAGCAGGGCCAGGUCUCCACCAUCACCAACAUCUCCCUGGAGGAGCAGAAAGUGCUGCUGUCCCUGAAUCGACUCAAUCGUCGGCUGCAAUAUGUGCAGGCCUCAGCUGGAGGCAGCCCUGCAGAUAAAGCUUUCCUAUGUGGUGAAGCGCCCUUUACAGAGGAAGGGACGGGUGCUGCCCACCGUAAACACCGCACGGUCUCCACCGACAACCGCCCGAGAACCCAGAGGAGAUUCUGACACAACGGUCCAAUAUGGCCGCCUGAAUGUCACUCUGUCAGCUUGUGCUUCACUCCAACCUUAUACACUGCUGCAAAAAUAUCUUUAUAAUAACCCUCCCCGAGUUUCAGCACCACCACUAACUCUCUCUGCUGGGAUGAAGACUUCACAACCCAGGACUGUGAAUAAGUCCAUUAUCAAAUGACAGUACUUAUAUUGACUUAUUUACACAUUAUAGCUUCAGUCUUAUAUACAGCCAGGCUUUGCUAUUUGGUUUUGGCCUUUAAUUGAUAGAGAUUAUUUUUGUAUUGAAUAAAUAUAUUUAUUUUCCUGAAAAAUUGUGCGGUGUGUGUAUAUAUUGUACACAAUGAUUGUACACAAUGUAUUGUGUAUCGUAUUGGUACCAUUGUAUUGUACACAAUGAUACCAAUAGGAUUGUAUACUGAUGUGUGUCAGUGUGUAAACUAAUCUUGAUAAUGAUGAAGCAAAAUAAAGUCAUUCUGUCCUCACGUUUAGUUCCGUUUCUGAAAGGUGACGCCGUUUGUUGCGGAUUGUC
ensembl:lncRNA